CCUACGGGAGGCAGCAGUGAGGAAUAUUGGUCAAUGGGCUUACGCCUGAACCAGCCAAGUCGCGUGAGGGAAGACUGCCCUAUGGGUUGUAAACCUCUUUUGUCAGGGAGCAACGCCGGCUACGUGUAGCCGGACUGAGAGUACCUGAAGAAAAAGCAUCGGCUAACUCCGUGCCAGCAGCCGCGGUAAUACGGAGGAUGCGAGCGUUAUCCGGAUUUAUUGGGUUUAAAGGGUGCGUAGGCGGAAUGCCAAGUCAGAUGUGAAAACUCAGGGCUCAACCCUGAGCCUGCAUUUGAAACUGUUUUUCUUGAGUGCUGGAGAGGCAAUCGGAAUUCCGUGUGUAGCGGUGAAAUGCGUAGAUAUACGGAGGAACACCAGUGGCGAAGGCGGAUUGCUGGACAGUAACUGACGCUGAGGCGCGAAAGCGUGGGGAGCAAACAGGAUUAGAUACCCCAGUAGUC
rnacentral:rRNA from 1 species